rnacentral:rRNA from 1 species
UUAAGCGACUAAGCGUACACGGUGGAUGCCCUGGCAGUCAGAGGCGAUGAAGGACGUGCUAAUCUGCGAUAAGCGUCGGUGAGGUGAUAUGAACCGUUAUAACCGGCGAUUUCCGAAUGGGGAAACCCAGUGUGUUUCGACACACUAUCAUUAACUGAAUCCAUAGGUUAAUGAGGCGAACCGGGGGAACUGAAACAUCUAAGUACCCCGAGGAAAAGAAAUCAACCGAGAUUCCCCCAGUAGCGGCGAGCGAACGGGGAGGAGCCCAGAGCCUGAAUCAGUGUGUGUGUUAGUGGAAGCGUCUGGAAAGGCGCGCGAUACAGGGUGACAGCCCCGUACACAAAAAUGCACAUAUUGUGAGCUCGAUGAGUAGGGCGGGACACGUGGUAUCCUGUCUGAAUAUGGGGGGACCAUCCUCCAAGGCUAAAUACUCCUGACUGACCGAUAGUGAACCAGUACCGUGAGGGAAAGGCGAAAAGAACCCCGGCGAGGGGAGUGAAAAGAACCUGAAACCGUGUACGUACAAGCAGUGGGAGCCUCUUAAUGGGGUGACUGCGUACCUUUGUAUAAUGGGUCAGCGACUUAUAUUCUGUAGCAAGGUUAACCGAAUAGGGAGCCGAAGGGAAACCGAGUCUUAACUGGGCGUUAAGUUGCAGGGUAUAGACCCGAAACCCGGUGAUCUAGCCAUGGGCAGGUUGAAGGUUGGGUAACACUAACUGGAGGACCGAACCGACUAAUGUUGAAAAAUUAGCGGAUGACUUGUGGCUGGGGGUGAAAGGCCAAUCAAACCGGGAGAUAGCUGGUUCUCCCCGAAAGCUAUUUAGGUAGCGCCUCGUGAAUUCAUCUCCGGGGGUAGAGCACUGUUUCGGCAAGGGGGUCAUCCCGACUUACCAACCCGAUGCAAACUGCGAAUACCGGAGAAUGUUAUCACGGGAGACACACGGCGGGUGCUAACGUCCGUCGUGAAGAGGGAAACAACCCAGACCGCCAGCUAAGGUCCCAAAGUCAUGGUUAAGUGGGAAACGAUGUGGGAAGGCCCAGACAGCGGGAUGUUGGCUUAGAAGCAGCCAUCAUUUAAAGAAAGCGUAAUAGCUCACUGGUCGAGUCGGCCUGCGCGGAAGAUGUAACGGGGCUAAACCAUGCACCGAAGCUGCGGCAGCGACACUAUGUGUUGUUGGGUAGGGGAGCGUUCUGUAAGCCUGUGAAGGUGGCCUGUGAGGGUUGCUGGAGGUAUCAGAAGUGCGAAUGCUGACAUAAGUAACGAUAAAGCGGGUGAAAAGCCCGCUCGCCGGAAGACCAAGGGUUCCUGUCCAACGUUAAUCGGGGCAGGGUGAGUCGACCCCUAAGGCGAGGCCGAAAGGCGUAGUCGAUGGGAAACAGGUUAAUAUUCCUGUACUUGGUGUUACUGCGAAGGGGGGACGGAGAAGGCUAUGUUGGCCGGGCGACGGUUGUCCCGGUUUAAGCGUGUAGGCUGGUUUUCCAGGCAAAUCCGGAAAAUCAAGGCUGAGGCGUGAUGACGAGGCACUACGGUGCUGAAGCGACAAAUGCCCUGCUUCCGUGAAAAGCCUCUAAGCAUCAGGUAACAUCAAAUCGUACCCCAAACCGACACAGGUGGUCAGGUAGAGAAUACCAAGGCGCUUGAGAGAACUCGGGUGAAGGAACUAGGCAAAAUGGUGCCGUAACUUCGGGAGAAGGCACGCUGAUAUGUAGGUGAAGCGACUUGCUCGUGGAGCUGAAAUCAGUCGAAGAUACCAGCUGGCUGCAACUGUUUAUUAAAAACACAGCACUGUGCAAACACGAAAGUGGACGUAUACGGUGUGACGCCUGCCCGGUGCCGGAAGGUUAAUUGAUGGGGUUAGCGGUAACGCGAAGCUCUUGAUCGAAGCCCCGGUAAACGGCGGCCGUAACUAUAACGGUCCUAAGGUAGCGAAAUUCCUUGUCGGGUAAGUUCCGACCUGCACGAAUGGCGUAAUGAUGGCCAGGCUGUCUCCACCCGAGACUCAGUGAAAUUGAACUCGCUGUGAAGAUGCAGUGUACCCGCGGCAAGACGGAAAGACCCCGUGAACCUUUACUAUAGCUUGACACUGAACAUUGAGCCUUGAUGUGUAGGAUAGGUGGGAGGCUUUGAAGUGUGGACGCCAGUCUGCAUGGAGCCGACCUUGAAAUACCACCCUUUAAUGUUUGAUGUUCUAACGUGGGCCCCUUACCGGGGUUGCGGACAGUGUCUGGUGGGUAGUUUGACUGGGGCGGUCUCCUCCUAAAGAGUAACGGAGGAGCACGAAGGUUGGCUAAUCCUGGUCGGACAUCAGGAGGUUAGUGCAAUGGCAUAAGCCAGCUUGACUGCGAGCGUGACGGCGCGAGCAGGUGCGAAAGCAGGUCAUAGUGAUCCGGUGGUUCUGAAUGGAAGGGCCAUCGCUCAACGGAUAAAAGGUACUCCGGGGAUAACAGGCUGAUACCGCCCAAGAGUUCAUAUCGACGGCGGUGUUUGGCACCUCGAUGUCGGCUCAUCACAUCCUGGGGCUGAAGUAGGUCCCAAGGGUAUGGCUGUUCGCCAUUUAAAGUGGUACGCGAGCUGGGUUUAGAACGUCGUGAGACAGUUCGGUCCCUAUCUGCCGUGGGCGCUGGAGAACUGAGGGGGGCUGCUCCUAGUACGAGAGGACCGGAGUGGACGCAUCACUGGUGUUCGGGUUGUCAUGCCAAUGGCACUGCCCGGUAGCUAAAUGCGGAAGAGAUAAGUGCUGAAAGCAUCUAAGCACGAAACUUGCCCCGAGAUGAGUUCUCCCUGACUCCUUGAGAGUCCUGAAGGAACGUUGAAGACGACGACGUUGAUAGGCCGGGUGUGUAAGCGCAGCGAUGCGUUGAGCUAACCGGUACUAAUGAACCGUGAGGCUUAACCU